UACGUAGGGGCCGAGCGUUGUCCGGAGUUAUUGGGCGUAAAGCGCGCGCAGGCGGCCUCGCGCGCCCGACGUGAAAGCCCCCGGCUUAACCGGGGAGGGUCGUUGGGGACGGCGGGGCUUGAGGGCGGGAGAGGUCGGUGGAAUUCCCGGUGUAGCGGUGAAAUGCGCAGAUAUCGGGAGGAACACCGGUGGCGAAGGCGGUUCUCUGGGCCUGUUCUGACGCUGAGGAGCGAAAGCGUGGGGAGCGAACAGG
rnacentral:rRNA from 1 species